GUCAGCUAGAUGGCAACGGGGCAGAUGGUGCCCCUGUGGAGGUAAAUCAUAGCCCCGAGGGAAGAAGGGCUCGGGCUGAGCACUGGUGCGACGACCCACCCGCACCAACAGCCCAGACGUGGGCUAAAAAGAGCAAACAUAUAAGCGGGCAGAGUUGGUACAAGACUGGCUUCUCCAAACAGCUGCAGUUUAAUUUAUAGCAAAAAAAAAAACAACCCAAGAAUAUAUAACAGCUAAAGACACACAUGUUCUGUGAUGAGAAAAUUGUGAAAUUUUGCUAUAGAACACAUCUUGCCACUUUUUGAAAAGGUAAGAUUUAUUAAAUAGCUUUAUUUAUAGAGCAAUAUCUAAAAGAUGAAAAAUGUCAGUGUUUUAAUACAAACUUGCCCUUUAAGGAAACAGGAGACUAAUAAAAAUUAAAAGGUCUAAAACAUGGAUCAAAAAGAAACAAGCUCCCUGUGUUGGUAACAUGAAUAUUUUCAUUAUUUAUGAUGACAGUUACAGGGAAGAGGUUGGGAGAAAUGUUUCAAGUUACAAAUAGCAGUCUGUGAGUUACUGCUGUUAGACUACAGAAUUUUUCAUAGUUAUAUUGGUAUCCAUAUUAGCUCUUUCCGUACUCACACUUGGAGACAUCAAGCAGGAUAUAGGAAAACAGGAUGAAUAUGGACAGCUAAACACAGCAACCUGAACUGCAGAGUUUGUAGUUUAAGUUUGGUUUGUUAAGUUUGUAGUUAAGGCUGAUGAGUUUAAGGAGUUUCAGAGAAUCUUUCAUAAUUGACUUAUCAGUCUGCAUCUCAUUAAUUUAGGAUAAAAAACAAUCUGAAAGGUAUUUUCUGUUGACUGUUGUCUUGUAGCCAAAAUAAAACAGAUGACAUAAUUUCUCUCAGAUAAGCCUAUGUAUAGGACUGGGUUUUAAUCAUAUUCUGAUGGGUACUGAUCAGUUUCCUGUUUAUUAUAAGAGAUAAAACAAGAACUAUAAGGGAUACCUCAGUCUUUGCAACUUUUCUUUUUAUUUAUUCAAAAUUCAUUAUUAAAGAAAAAACUAAGAGUGAUGCAGAGAGUAAGGCUAGGAAAAAUAUGAAAGUCACACCAAAUGUCAGGUAAUUGGGAAUAGGGGGUAAGAAGUUUCAUGGAUCAGUGCUACUUGUUGAACAUCUUUCACUGUAAUUUGAAUUAAUUCAAAAUUCAAAUGUGGCACUAAAAGCUAUUUAAAUGAUAACUCAUUCAGUAAUAGUUCUCCAUCACUUGGAAAAUUGACCGUUCAUGGGUUCUGAAUCACCUCUGUCUGGUGGAAACGAUGCUUACUGCGUAGUUGGAAGGGAGGUGCCUCAAGACAAAUCCAAAGCAAUGGAAAUGUUACUGGUGACUCAGUGGGUAUCUGUCUUCUCUUUUGAGGAACAAAUUGUGGUUUUACACAAGUCCCAAACGACAUUGAAGCAUGUAGUUGCUGUGCCCUUAGAAGAGUAUCAGGAAUUAGCUCCAAAACUCAUCUACUGUAUUCUAAGCCUUCUUCUCCCCUUUCUCACAACAAAGUCUGUGUUGGCUUCUUAUGAAGUUAAUUGUCCCAUUGUACCUGCCUGUUUGCAUCUCCUGGUGUACAUGCAGGGUAGGUUUAUGGUCCCUGGUUAUUCCUUCUUGUGCCUGGUGGCAUAUGUGUUGUUGGAACUGUGGACGCUGGUCUGUACUGUGCUGUGUAGUCCACAUAGCCGUCACAGAGGAGUAGGGUGGCACAUUCCACUACGUAGUGAAAUGGUGGCUUAAUGCUACACUGGGGAUGUAUAUGAUGCUGGUAAAAGAAAUGUCAUUUAAAUAUUACCUAAAUCUAAAUUUAUGACCCUGAAACCAUUAAAACACACGCUUAAUCACUUGAGUAUAAGAACAUUUUCCACUCUGUCAUGUCCCAAUCAAAACUGGGUAAUUAGGUAUUAGUGAUUUAAAUCUCUGUGGUCUCGAUUUAAAUCACAAAGUAGUCUAAUUCGCACACUGUCCUAAAUUCUAUUAUUCUAAUUUAUCUCUGUGUAUUCAUAAGUCUUAUAAGUUUCUUUGGAAUAAAUUUCUAUGUAAUGCAAAUUUCUUAUUAUUGUUUCUUUAAUAUGGUUAAAGUUCAGAAAAUUUCACUUCUGGUAUAACCUCACAACACAAACUGUGUAAGUUAAAGACCACUCUGACCUUGCCAUUGAGGUCUCUAAAUUAGGAGCACAUGUUUAAUAUUCAUCCUCAGUUCUUCAUAGGAGUAUUUUGAAAAGAAAUCCAAAGCACACUUUAAACCGGAGUAAUAAAUACUGUUUAUUUAUCA